ACUUCUUACACUUUAAAGCCAGGCUUGUUACUUUAGUUUUAAUCUGCAUGAUCAAUAUUAUUUCUUGUCAUUGCACUUUUUUUCAUUUCACGCACAGCCAACGUAAACUACUCUAAGCUACCAUGGAGCAGGGCAGAAGGCAACAAAAAAAGAAUAAAACAUUUUAAAAGUACAUGAAUAAAAACUUUUGAAAAGUUGAACAAUGACAUCCUACAUUUUCUAGAAAUAUACGUUUUGAAAGGUUGAAAACAUAUUUUCGAAAAAAAGUUUAUAAAGGUUCAAAAAAUAAAACCGGAAAAAUGUUUUACAAUAAAAGUUGCAAAAACACUAGAAACUCCACUAAAACUCCAGUAACACAAACAUCUUUGAUCCUGCUUCAUUUCCACCAGGGUUACUGGUAUCUGUAGUUUUUAUGACUUCUGUAGUUUUAUUGCUGUCACACCAAUAAGAAAGUACAUGUGUUUUCUUUCAGUCAGACUUCAGUGCUUCCUUUUCUCAACACAUGGAAAUAGAUACAGAGCACACACACGCACACACACCACACUUAUAUUCUAACACACUGCCUGCACACUGUCUCCCAAUGUGUGACUGCAUUGGUGUCUUAAGUUAAAGUGAAGUGCAAAGUAAUAGAAUGACUAUUUUCCUUGUUUCCGCAUCAAUUUGUAGGUCAAACGCGGCUAAACAAUCCAGUCCAGUCCAGUGGGGAAAAAGUUUCCCGGAAACGUUGCCAUAGCAGCAGCGUUCUUAUGGCCACCAGCACACAUGAACCGAGGAGCUAGAGCUAACAACUAGUAGGCUAACUAAGUUUUGCUAACUUCUAAAACUCUCAUUUUGACUUAGGGGUCGAAUAUACUGACUUCAAGUCGUUAAGUCAGUUUGACAGCAAACCCAACAUUUGAAGUCGCUAUCUACCAUCGUAAAUCGGGAGAGAGAAGAUGAGUGCAGCCGGCGUCGCUCCGCAGCAGAAAGUUAGAACUACAACUCUACCGAAUAUCAACAGAACCGAGACGGAGCCUCUUCCUCGAGGGUCGACGACUCCCCGGUGGAACAGAGCUCAGAAGAAAACGACAGACACAGAAUCAUCGGAGAGAUGCCGCGCGCCCACCGUGUCCAGAGGGGAGGUCGCCUCGUUCAGGAACAGUUUAAAACAGAACAUAUGUGUUGCUAUGCUGAGUGAAGGCUUUC